CCUACGGGAGGCAGCAGUGAGGAAUAUUGGUCAAUGGGCACUAGCCUGAAGCAGCCAAGUAGCGUGAAGGAUGAAGGACCUAUGGGUUGUAAACUUCAUCAGUAUGGGAAUAAAGUGCAGUAUGUAUACAGCUUUGCAUGUACAUCUUGAAUAAGGAUGGGCUAACUACGUGCAAGCAGCCGCGGUAAUACGGAGGAUCCGAGCGUUAUCCGGAUUUAUUGGGUUUAAAGGGAGCGUAGGCGGGUUGUUAAGUCAGUUGUGAAAGUUUGCGGCUCAACCGUAAAAUUGCAGUUGAUACUGGCAUCCUUGAGUACAGUAGAGGUAGGCGGAAUUCGUGGUGUAGCGGUGAAAUGCUUAGAUAUCACGAAGAACUCCGAUUGCGAAGGCAGCCUGCUGGACUGUAACUGACGCUGAUGCUCGAAAGUGUGGGUAUCAAACAGGAUUAGAUACCCCAGUAGUC
rnacentral:rRNA from 1 species